AUGCCGCGUGAGCGAAGAAGGUCUUCGGAUUGUAAAGCUCUGUUGCCGGGGAAAAGGAAGGAAAGAGGAAAUGCUUUUCUUUGGAUGGUACCCGGCCAGAAAGUCACGGCUAACUACGUGCC
rnacentral:rRNA from 1 species